CGCCGCUCGGUCUUUUACGUCUGGACUUGGGAAGUGUGGUCUAGGUUGUGGGUGAGUGGGCCUCGCGGACGAGUACCUGGCGGGCGAAGUUGGCGCGGGCUGAGAUCAAAAAGAUCGUUUGAAAAUGGGCAGUCCCCGACCUUGUCUGAGAUUGAGCUGUACUGUGCCCAGAUGGCGCUGUGUGCAAACCAGAUUAGUGAAAGAGGCAGGGAUCUGGCAUUCUGUGAAAACGCUUAAUCUUCAAAAUAAUUGGUCCGCUGCGGGAACGGUGGGCUCUCUGUGGUGUAAAGGAGCUGUUACCGGGAGAUGAUGAGGUGCAGAGGGAAAUUCCAAAACAAAUAUCCAAGAGAAUAUUUGCUAGGAAAUGACCUGAUUGGAACCUAACGAUCUUAACCCAGCAUCCUGGAGAUUGAUGAACAAUAAUGGAGCUGUAAAUGUCACAGAGGAGCAACCUUGCUUGUAAGUGAGGUGUCGCUGUCUGCUCAUGGAAAGACGCCAGUUUGCAGUAACCUUCCUAAGGCAUAACUCACUUCUGGCAAAUGCCACCAGAUUUACUUGUAUGAAAAACAUAAGGAAAAGCUCUUCAUUUUUACUGGCAUGGAAAGAAAAUCUACAAAUCAAGACCAUAUAUUCAUUUUUAUUUCUGUAAACAAAUAAUCAAAUCGAAUGUAUCCAUAAGAAUUAAGCCUCUUACUUUUGUCACACUGCCCUAGCCACAACCUGUUAGUCAGAUUGCUUUGUAGAUCUAGUUCUAUUUUAAAUACAGGAAUGUGUAGAAAACUAAUUUUUAUGGUGAAGUCUUUUUUUUUUUUUUUCUCCAGUUAACCAGACUUGUAAUCAGAUCACUCUGAAUGCUUUGCCUUUGGUCACCUGUUGAAUUUAAAGUAUGUGGAUGUAAUUAAAGUGGAGUGAAAAUCGGAGUAUUGUGGGAAAAUCCUUGGGGUUUUUUUGGCGAAAUGACUUGGUUUGGCAGUAUCACUGAAUAAGUACAAAUCAUAUUGGCUUUUUGUGUGGUACUAAGUAUUCCUGGGUUAAUGGUGAGCAAAAUGGAGAGACUGCCUGUUAGGGGAGAGAAAAAUACCAGGUAUCAAAAUGAUCAGUGAUUACUGGUCCUAAUGCAAUUGUAUUUUGAAAGGAUGCUCAAGAUGGGAAAUGUAGAAUGCUGAAAAUGAAGAGAGCACAGCGUAACAAUUAUGGGUAAUGGAGGAAGAUAAGGGAGUUUAAAGUAGUCAAACAUUGCACAGAAUGUAGACUGUAAUAGCAUCUGAUCUAACCAAGAUGGGCCCCAUGCAUGAUCAUUUUCCAUAAAUAGCUGUAUACGUAAGUUGUUCUUUUUUUUUUAUUUAUUAUUUUUUUUAAGAUUUUAUUUAUUUAUCAGAGAGAGAGGGAAGAGAGCGAGUACAGGCAGACAGAAUGGCAGGCAGAGGGAGAAGCAGGCUCCCUGCUGAGCAAGGAGCCCAAUGUGGGACUCGAUCCCAGGACGCUGGGAUCAUGACCUGAGCCGAAGGCAGCUGCUUAACCAACUGAGCCACCCAGGCGUCCCACGGGAAGACAUAGAGUAGAAAAUCACAUAAUUUAGUCCAUUUGAUUCUGCAGAGUCCACACUUGAACAAAUAAGGACCAAAAAGAACUGGAACAGAUAAUCCUAAAAUUUGUAUGGAACUGAAAAAACCCCAAAUAGCCAAAGAAAUGUUGAAAAAGAAAACCAAAGCUGGUGAGAUCACAAACCUGGACUUCAAGCUCUGUUACAAAGCUGUGAUCAUCAAAACAGUAUGGUACUGGCACAAAAACAGACACAUACAUCAUUGGAACAGAAUAGAGUACCCAGAAAUGGACCGUCAACUCUAUGGUCAACUAAUCUUUGACAAAACAAAAGAAUAUCCAAUAGAUAAAAAGGCAGUCUCUUCAAAAAAUGGUGUUGGGAAAAUUGGACAGCCACAUGCAGGAGAAUGAAACUGGAUAAUUUCCUUAUACCAUACACAAAAAAAUAGACUCAAAAUGGAUGAAAAACCUAAAUGUGAGAGAGGAAUCCAUCAAAAUCCUAGAGGAGAACACAGGCAGCAAUCUCUUGUAACUUUGGCCACAGCAACUUCUUGCUAGAUACGUUUUCAAAGGCAAGGGAAACAAAGGCAAACAUGAACUAUUGGGACGUAAAUAAAGCUUUUUGCACAGAAAAGGAAACAGUCAACAAAACCAAAAGACAACAGAAAAGAAUGGGAGAAGAUAAUUUGCAAAUGUCUUACCAGAUAAAGGCUAGUAUCCAAAAUCUAUAAAGGACUUACCAAACUCAACACCCAGAGAACAAAUAGUUCAAUCAAGAAAUGGGCAGAAGACACGAACAGAUAUUUCUCCAAUGAAGACAUACAUACAGCCAACAGACACAUGAAAAAAUGUUCCACAUCUCUUGGCAUCAGGGAAAUACAAAUCAAAAUCACAAUGAGAUAUCACCUCAUACCAGUCAGAAUGGCUAAAAUUAACAAGUCAGGAAAUGACAGAUGUUGGCAAGGAUGCGAAGAAAGGGGAACCCUCCUACACUGUUGGCGGGAAUGCAAGCUGGUGCAGCCACUCCGGAAAACAGCAUAAAGUUUCCUCAGAAAGUUAAAAAUGGAACUACUCUAUGACCCAGCAAUUGCACUAUUGGGUGUUUACCCCAAUACAAAGGUAGUGAUCAAAGGGGCACCUGCAAUUGCUGUUUAUAGCAGCAAUGUCCACAAUAGCCAAAUUAUGGCAAGAGCCCAGAUGUACAUUGAUAGAUGAAUGGAUAAGAAGAUACUGUUUGUAUGUGUGUAUGGAACAUACAUAUAUAUGGAACACUACUCAGCCAUCAAAAAAAUGAAAUCUUGGCGAUUUGCAGUAACAUUGGUAGAACUAGAGGGUAUUAUGCUAAAUGAAAUAAGUCAGAGAAAGAGAAUUAACAUGAUCUCAGUGAUGUGUGGUAUUUAAGAAAUGAAACAUGGGCGCCUGGGUGGCUCAGUGAGUUAAAGCCUCUGCCUUCGGCUCAGGUCAUGAUCCCAGGGUCCUGGGAUCAAGCCCCACAUUGGGCUCUUUGCUCGGCAGGGAGCCUGCUUCCUCCUCUCUCUCUCUGCCUGCUUCUCUGCCUACUUGUGAUCUCAGGCUGUCAAAUAAAUAAAGUCUAAAAAAAAAAAAAGAAAAAACAGAGGAUCAUCGGGGAGAAGAAAAAAUAAGAUGAAUUCAGAGAGGGAGACAAACCAUGGGAGAGUCUUAAUCAUAGAAAACAAACAGGGUUGCUGGGGUGCGGGGAUGGGGUAACUGGGUGAUGGGCAUUAAGGAAGGUAUGUGAUGUAAUGAUCACUGCGUAUUACAAGACUCGUGAAUCACUGACCUCUACCUCUGAAACUAAUAAUACAUUAAAUGUUUAUUAAUUGAAUUGACAUUUAAGCUUAAAAUCUUUAAAAAUAACCCCCCCAGAAAUAAAAUCUCUUUUUUCUCUAUGAACAUUAGGAUUGCAGUAAGUUUUAAAACUUAUUUUUUGUAACUGACAGGUCAUACCUAUCAUAAUUUUGUUCCCUAUUUAAUGGAAAACCGUAUAAAACAAUGACACUUUCACUUCUUUUAAUUUUUCAUAGUACUUUGACAUAUAUCAUCUAGGUUUCUCUUAGAGAAACCCUGGAAGGUAGAUAAAAGAGGCAUUAUUUGGUAUUCAUAUGUUUUAUAUGUGAUAAACUAAGAUUGAAAUAUUUAAAAUAUAGGCUGUUUAAGGUCUAGAUCACUAGAAGGAAUGAUUUCAUCAUCUGUAUUUUGCACAUAAAAAUACUGUUGUUGUUUGUUUUUUUUUUAUUUUAGGUGGGACAUUUAAGGAAAACACUGACAAGACUAGGAGGCAUCCAAAGAAAGAAGACCAAGGCUCUGUAAACAAUUCAUUCGGGACAGCAUUUUAAGGACUUGGAAAUAUUUAACCUGAAGAAAUGAAUUUCAAGGAAAAAUAUGGCGAAUUUUAGAUAUUUGAAAGUACAUCAGGUGGAAUAAUAGUAUAUUAAUAAUAAUCCCAUGUGGUAGGUACUGUUAUUAAGCCAUUUUACAGAUGAGGUAGUUGAACCUUAGAAAAGUAACCUAGUGAAAAUCACAAAGGAAGUGGAGGAAUUGGCAUUUAAAAUCUGGUAAUCUAAGUCCAAAGAUGCUGUUCUUACCCUGCUAAAUACCUCCCCCAAAGGAGUAGUUAACUUAAGUGUUUCUCUAGAAAGCACAAAGGAGAUUAAUGAAAUAAAUAAAAAGAGGCAAAGUGAACCUAAAAAUGAAGUUCCUUAUAUGAGAAUAUACAGCCUCCAAAUCAUAGUCUAUCCAUAUGAGUUGGAGAAAGGAAGCUGGCCCUAAUCAGCUUUAAAGACUCUUUCAAGUCUAAGUCCAGAUUCUUCACUUGCCCAAGGUAACCCAACUAGUUAAUGACCAAAAUGACAACCAACAUCCUCUGUCCCUUUCUCAGUCCAGUGUUCAGUCCACUAAAUACAGUGCCCCAGUUUUUCCCCCCAGAGGUAAUGUAAAUUUCCUCAAAAUUCACUAAUCUGUGAAAAUGGGUAAAAUCACAUUAAAUUAUACCUGUUCACUGCCCUUCUGUUGACACAGAACCUCUAGCCCCUACAAAAUUCCUUCAGAGAGGUUCUGGAGUCCCCAUUAGAGUAUCUCACAUAUAUUCACAAAUAGGCCUCCUGAUGCCCUUUCUGAUAUUCUGCCUAUUACUAUGACCCUUCCAUUGGGUACCCCCACAUAACCAGUGCUUCCCACAAAGCAUCAAGGUCUCCUUUCUUGCUAAUAUUCAUAGUUCAGAGGGGUAUUGUGCUCUCAUAUCCUCCUCUUGGUACUAUGCCUCAUAAAAGAGAAAUCUGUGCAGUUCCUAUUGUCAGCCUUUUGUCAUAGACAUUUUUCCAUGAAGGGAACCUGGCUGGCUCGGUCUGUAGAGCAUGCAACUCUUGAUCUCCUUGGGGCCAUGAACUUAAGCCCCAUGUUCAGAGUAGAGUAUAGUUAAUAAAAUAAAAAAUAAAAAUGUAUCAUACAUGUUUUCCCAUAGCACUGAGACCUGGUACCUGUAGUCAGACUUGGGUUUAGUACUUUCUUAUCCUUCUCCUCUGCCCAAUGUCGGAUCUCUUCCUAGCAGACUCCUACCUUGCAAUUCAACCUAAGAUCCAGGAAGGCUUAGCCUCAUUAGUCCAGACAAAUAUGAAUCUCAGAUUAGGCUUAUCCUUGCUAUGUCAACAGUAGCCUGAAAUCCACUUUUUUUUUUUUUUAAGGUUUUUAUUUAUUAUUUUUUUAAAGUAAACUCUCAACGUGGGACUCGGAUUUACAGUCCUGAGAUCAAGAGUCACACACUCCACCAACUGAGCCAGCCAGAUGCCCCAAGUAACUUUAAUCAACUACUUUUAUACAAAAAUGUUGCUAAUAGUUAAUAAUUUACCUACAUUUGAAGAACAUGGAUAUUAAGCAUACUAAACUUCUCUGGAGCAAUAGUGAGGUGUAUUCUUUAGGGCACAUCUCAAUUCUCAUCUUGUAGUUAUAUUACUGUUGGAGACUAUCAGCUUAUAUUGCAUUUCUUUUUCAAAAAUGAAUGCACAGGGAGCCUGGGUGGCUUCGUAGGUUAAGCAUCUAACUCAACUUCAGCUCCGGUCAUGAUCUCAGGGUUGUGAGAUCAAGCCUGUGUCAGGCUAGCAUGGAGCCUGCUUAGGAGUCUCUCUUUCCUUCUUACUCUGCCCCUUCUCCCACCUUGCUUCUCUUUCAAUAUCUCUCUCAAAAAAAAAAAAAAAAAAAAAAAAGAAUACACAAACAUUGCUCAAAGCCAGAAAUGUCAGGCUGGUGUUGAGAUUCAUGCACUUGUCGCUACAUUCUACAUACCUGGAUAUAGCUCAGUUUCUUGAGGGAUGUUGUUUGCUUUAAAUUGUAUCUGUUCCUCUGAGAUUGAACUUGAUAGGUUAGGCAUGUGAUGAUUCAGAAACAUGCUAAAAUUUAUCCAUUUGUUCAUUGAGUAAGUAAGUAGGGAAUAGCUAACAUGUACAGGUACUGUUUGUCCUAAGCACUAAAAAUAUAGCAGUAAACCAAACAACCAAAAUCCCUGCCCUUGUGGAGCUUGUAUUUUAGGAGGAGGGGAGGAAUACUAAAUAAAUAGAUACAUUAUAAAGUAUAUGAGAAAAUGAGAAACGAUAUGAAAAAAAUAGAACACAAGACAUUGGGAGUGGGUUUGGGGAGGGAAAUAGUGUUGUGAUUUUUAAUAUAGUUGACAGAAUAGGCUUCCAUGAGAUUAAGCAAAGACAUAUAGGAGAUGAGGGAUUGAGCUAUGCACAUACCUGGGAAAAGCACAUUCCCAUGGCAGCAGCCCAAAGACUGAAACAAGCGUGGUAAAGAAUAGAAGAAACAGGCCAUGCAAAUCAUGUAGGGCCUUAUGGGUCAUUAAAAGGAUUUUGUUCUGAGUAAAAUGGGAAGCACUGCAAAAAACAACAACAAAAACCACACACAGAGAAAACUAGAAGUGUGAUUCAUAUGCAUCAAAACUUGUGAACCCUGCCCCCUAGGGCCCCGAUUGUGGUCUCUGCCAUCUACCAUUGAAAGAAAACAGGGCUUAUUGAAUAAAUGACUUUUUACAGAUCUUAAGGCAAGAAAUAUACAAGAUGCACCUUGUGCACCUUGUUAGAGCAGAGAGCAAGAAAGCUACCAAAGACUGCUAGGAUUGUGUUAAAAGAACUCAGUAGCCAACCUGGAGCAUCUCCUACCACACAAAGAUGUAAAUUUAGACUAUUACCAAGGAUAAGAACUACAAUAGUUUGACAUACAUAAAAUUUGUUUAAAUCUGUGAAUUCAAAAUGAUACCUAAACAAAACAAAACUGAUUUUGAUGCUCUUUGAGGAUGCUGGUGAACCAACUCAUCAGUUUCAGAACUGGCAAAUACACCAAUUGUAGUAACAGAUAAUCAAAUAAAAGAUAAGUUUCUCUUUAUUGCUGUAUCCUAUUUAAUAACUGAAAAGAUUAACAUAAUUAGAAUGCCAUCAUUUUGCAAACACCUAACAAAUUAAUGUAUUUAAGCAAUGAUCAUUAAUGGCCGCUACCAUUAAGAAAAAGAGUGUAAGUAGUUGAUUGGAAGUUCUGGGAUCAUGUCAACAACAUACAGAUACUUUACGAUCCACUCUCCACAGGAAGUAUGCUUUAAAUAAUUUUUCCAUUAAAUGUGAUAUAUUUACCCUAAGAUAUUAGCACUCUCCAUUCUUUGCAAUAAUGUCACACAUCAGCAAGAUGUCUGAUCAGUCUCCCCAGAAAGAGUUCCUUGAAUGAGUCUACAGUUGUUAUUUUUUUUUUUUAAGAUUUUUUUUUAUUUGACAGACAGGAAGAGAGGGAACAUAAGCAAGGCUAGUGGGAGAAAGAAAAGCAGGUUGCCUGCUGAGCAGGGAGCCCAAUGCUGGCUCCAUCCCAGGAUCCUGGGAUCAUGACCUGAGCCGAAGGCAGAUGCUUAAGGACUGAGCCAACCAGGUCCCCCUCCUAGAAUAAAUCGAACAAAAUUCUAGAAAACUAAUUAUUAACAUGAAUAGCAUAGCAUGAGAUUUAUCACUUCAGCUUCAGCUACAUCUUGGAGAGGUGUGUUAUUAUUGUUUUUGUUAUUGUUUUGUUAUUAUUGUUUUAUUAUUAUUAAUUGUUAUUAGUUAGCAAUUAAUACUUAAUGUUAUUAAUUAUUGUUUUAUUAUUGUUGUUAUUAAUUAACAAUAAUUAAUAAUUGUUAUUGUUUUGUUAUUAUUGUUUUAUUAUUGUUUGUUGCCCAUGUUAUUAUUGUCUACCUUAAUAAACAGCCAUAUCUCACAUGUAUCUCAGAAGGUAAAAUAUGCUCAAUACCAUAUUAAUGUUUAUUCUAGAUUUAUAGUUCAUAGAUGAUUCAUAUUUCAGUGCCCCAAAUUUCUUCAUUCUUCUUAAUAUAGAAUACAUACAACCUCUUAAUCCAAUGAUAUCCAAAUAUAAGAAACUGUCUCCUAUGCAAUUUCCUGUUUGCCAUUUAUUGGGAAUUUAAAUUAUUUAUCAAUUUUUCACUCACAUAAAGAAUGAUCUGCAGUGGGGCGCCUGGGUGGCUAAGUGGGUUAAGCCUCUGCCUUCCGCUCGGGUCAUGAUCCGAGGGUCCUAGGAUCGAGCCUCGAAUCUGGCUCUCUGCUCAGCAGGGAGCAUGCUUCCCCCUCUCUCUCUGCCUGCCUCUCUGCCUACUUGUGAUCUCUCUCUGUCAAAUAAAUAAAUAAAAAUUUAAAAAAAAAAAAGAAUGAUCUGCAGAGCAUAAACUUCCAAAGUAAGUAAAAUAUACAUUUUCAACUUUAGG